CAGCGGAGCGUGUGGUUAAUUCGAUGCUACACGAAGAACCUUACCUGGGUUUGACAUAGAGGUAGUAGGGAAGCGAAAGCGGACCGACCCUUCGGGGAGCCUCUACAGGUGUUGCAUGGCUGUCGUCAGCUCGUGUCGUGAGAUGUUCGGUUAAGUCCGCUAACGAGCGCAACCCUCGCUGUGUGUUACAAGUGUCACACGGUACUGCCGAUAUUAAGUCGGAGGAAGGUGGGGAUGACGUCAAGUCAGCAUGACCUUUAUAUCCAGGGCUACACACACGCUACAAUGGCCAGUACAAUGGGUUGCCAAGCCGCGAGGCGGAGCCAAUCCUAAAAAGCUGGCCUCAGUUCAGAUUGCAGGCUGCAACCCGCCUGCAUGAAGUCGGAGUUGCUAGUAACGGCAGGUCAGCAAUACUGCCGUGAAUACGUUCCCGGGCCUU
rnacentral:rRNA from 1 species